CCUAGACUGUACCGAAGCUUCAUGAGACCUCUCAUCGUCUGUGCACGGAUCAGUGGCUGACUCUGGAGCCCAGGUUGUUGCUUCCCAGUCUGGUGCUGAAUUCUCCAUAGUCUGGUGAGUGCGGUGUCUGACUCUGGAGCCCAGGCUCUUGCUUCCCAGUCUGGUGGUGAAUCCUCCAUAGUCUGGCUCCUUCACAACAGUGAGCAGAGGGACAAUGGAGGAACCAGCCAAACAUUUGCUUGAGCCUACGGCAGGAGACCAUCCAGAAAGAAGCUGGUGGUAGAGGGAUUCAUGGACAGCGCUGGAGCCAUCUGGUCUGGGGAGGCUUGAAGAGGAGGCAAGUGAAGGAGGCUCACAUAGGAUGUGUCUUAAGGUGUCCUUAAGAAGCUGAAAAUGUCAUGACUAACCUGCCAACAUGGUGAAACCCUGUCUUUACUAAAAAUACACAAACUAGCUGGGCAUCCUGGUUGGCACCUGUAAUCCCAGCUACUCGGGAGGCUGAGGCAGAAGAAUCACUUGAAUCCAGGAGGCGGAGGUUGCGGUGAGAGCUGAGAUCACGUCAUUGUACUCUAGCCUGAGGGACAAGAGUGAAAAAAUGGUCGUUUAAUCUAUCUAGGUCAGCGGAAAUAAUCAGAUGCAAAUGUCCACUGUAGUUUACAUUUUCUACUACUUCAAAACUUAAUAUGGGCACAUAUUUAGUUUCGUACUUCUUAUCCUCUAUAUGUUAUUUGACAAAAUAAAGCUAUUGUUCCGCCUUUAUAUAAACCUGCUGUCCAAAAAAAUGUGAAUACAAUUUUCAACAUUAAAG
rnacentral:lncRNA from 10 species